GCCACGGACACGCCCUUCAACGAAAACUCAAGAUCUUCGCAAUUUAACAUCGCAAAGGCCUUUAGAUUAGGCAUACCAAAUUUGGUGUUGAUCUGAAUAAAUCUCUAGGAGGAGUUCGUUAAAAUACAAGGCAUGCAAAUGACAAAAAUGAUGCAAAAUUUGCUCAUAAAAUUAAAAAUAACCGACUUCCUGUUGGGUUUCGGAUAUUGCUCCAAGAGUCUUUUUUGUAGGUACUGAUGCUUUACAUAUGUGUGCCAAUUUUCGUGCAUGUACGUGAAACACAGCUCGAGGGCUGUUGAUUUUUUUACGAUAGGUGGCGCUGUCGAGCCAUUUUGCCACACCCUCUUCUGAAACCUAUAUCAGACGUAAAUUUUCACCAGGUCUGACGCGUGUGCAAAGUUUCAGGACUUUUCGAGCAUGUUUAGGCCCUCAAAAAUGCGAUUCAUUUUGGAGAAGAAGAAGAAGAAGAAGAAGAAGAAGAAUAAUAAUAAUAAUUAAAGCUGCAAGCAGCGAUGAACGGGCCCUCGCACCCGGGCUCACCGCCAGCGGGUGGCUUUAGUAAAAC
ensembl:lncRNA